CUUCUAGGACGCCACCUGGCCCGUCUUUCACAUUUUAGCAUAAUAAAUAUAAAUGGGAUCAGAACGUGAGGGGGCAGGCGCCACGUGAUCCCUGCCACUCG
rfam:Dasypus novemcinctus clone VMRC5-459N3, complete sequence.